UGGGGAAUUUUGCACAAUGGGGGGAACCUUGAUGCAGCGACGCCGCGUGAGGGAUGGAGGCCUUCGGGUUGUGAACCUCUUUCGCUCGUGUGCAAGCCGCUAUUUGGGUAGUGGUGAGUGUAGCGGGUAAAGAAGCGCCGGCUAACUACGUGCCAGCAGCCGCGGUAAUACGUAGGGCGCGAGCGUUGUCCGGAUUUAUUGGGCGUAAAGGGUGCGCAGGCGGCUUUACAAGUUGGAUGUGAAAUAUUGUGGCUCAACCACAAACGUGCAUCCAAAACUGCAAAGCUUGAGUUAAGGAGAGGUAAGUGGAAUUCCUGGUGUAGCGGUGGAAUGCGUAGAUAUCAGGAGGAAUACCGGUGGCGAAGGCGACUUACUGGACUUAAACUGACGCUCAGGCACGAAAGCGUGGGGAGCAAACAGG
rnacentral:rRNA from 1 species